rnacentral:rRNA from 1 species
GAGACGCAUGUGCACGUCGGUCGCAAACCAAUCCACACACCGUGAACCUAUGGCCUCGGAUUUUAGUUCAGACCCUGGGCACCAUUUUUACACUCUAUUUGUAAAGGAAUGUCUUAUAUCAUAUAAACAAACAACUUUCAACAACGGAUCUCUUGGCUCUCGCAUCGAUGAAGAACGCAGCGAAAUGCGAUAAGUAAUGUGAAUUGCAGAAUUCAGUGAAUCAUCGAAUCUUUGAACGCACCUUGCACCCUUUGGUAUUCCGAAGGGUACGCCCGUUUGAGUGUCAUUGUAAUCUCACCCCGAAAUCUUUUUUUUGGAGUGGACUUGGACGCUGCCGUGUUGCAUGGCUCGUCUUGAACGUCUCAGUGUGCCCCGCCCGUCGGUGUAAACAGCGUGAUAAGUAUCUUCCCUUGUCAACCCUCUCGGGGGG